UGCAAGUCGAGCGAGAAGCAGUCCUUCGGGAUUGUGGAGAGCGGCGGACGGGUGAGUAACACGUGGGCAACCUGCCCAGUAGUGGGGGAUAACCCGCCGAAAGGCGAGCUAAUACCGCAUACGACCGCCGGUGGAAAUCCGGUUGGUGAAAGCUUUAGUGCUACUGGAUGGGCCCGCGAUCGAUUAGCUAGUUGGUGGGGUAAAGGCUCACCAAGGCGACGAUCGAUAGCUGGUCUGAGAGGACGAUCAGCCACACGGGGACUGAGACACGGCCCCGACUCCUACGGGAGGCAGCAGCUAAGAAUCUUGCGCAAUGGGCGAAAGCCUGACGCAGCAACGCCGCGUGGGGGAGGAAGGCCUUCGGGUCGUAAACCCCUUUUGCGAGGGAAGAAGUUCUGACGGUACCUCGCGAAUAAGCCACGGCUAACUACGUGCCAGCAGCCGCGGUAAUACGUAGGUGGCAAACGUUGUCCGGAUUUAUUGGGCGUAAAGAGCCCGCAGGCGGCUUGACAAGUUUCAGGUGAAAUUUCCCGGCUCAACUGGGAAGGGUCUUGGAAAACUGUCAGGCUUGAGGCAGGAAGGGGGAUGCGGAAUUCAGUGUGUAGCGGUGAAAUGCGUAGAUAUACUGAGGAACACCAGCGGCGGAGGCGGCAUCCUGGUCCUGACCUGACGCUCAGGGGCGAAAGCAUGGGGAGCAAACCGGAUUAGAUACCCGGGUAGUCCAUGCCGUAAACGAUGAGUACUAGGAGUUGGGGGUAUC
rnacentral:rRNA from 1 species